AGAAAAAAGCUGACAAGAAGUCAAAUGGAACGGAAACACAUGUUGGCCUUAUCAAUUAGAAAUCUUUUUUUUUUAAUUUAGUUUCCGCACAGGGAAUUUUAUUUCUCAAAUAUUUCUUGCACAACAAACUCCCAUUUGAACACCAAUGGUAGAAAUUAUUUUCUCUAGGGAACACAAUUAUCGGCUUAGUUUCUAUGCUGAAAGCAUUAUGGUUUCGAAGUUUCGCUAUUUAAACUGUGACCGAACUUGAUCGAGAGUCAGUCGAAAUUAAUUGUCCGCGGAGAAGUUUCUUAACUCUGAAAUGCGGCAAGUGAUUUGUUGAUUACUUUACUUCAAGGAGUUCAGUAAUACGGACUCUCUAUAACACUGCAACCAAUCGGUCGAACGUUAUGGUUCUCGCUAUAUUUUUGGAGAAGGAAACCCAUAAAUGUAAUGGGAUAGGAUAGUAUAGUAUGGGAUGGUAUAUAAACUUCGGAUUGCCGAAGUCUGCUUCCUUCCCUGUUAAGGUUUAAUCGUGUUAAAACAACUAUUAUUUCGCUCACAGAUGACAUCUUAGCUGAAAGGAUCUCCUAUGAUGAGUCCCCACCUGUCCUGCGUACCGCAUCCUCUCCUGUCGCUGUGUAAACUUCUUCAGUUGUCUUAUUCCUUUCCGAAUGGGUCUGACCGUGAGGAUGAACAUAGUACCAUGUCCAUCCUGACGGGCAGACACAUUUUGAAAGUAAUAAGACAUAUGAAGGGGAUGUACCCAAUGGCAGGAGAGGAUGCGAUACUAAGGGUCAGUAAGCAUGUAACCGACAAUCAAAAAAUCUCCACUAACGGGCUCAUGGCCAUUGUUUUGAUAGUCCCCAAAGUUUGUCCACGUAUAGUUCCAGAAUCUGGGAUCGGCUCGAGGAUCGGCCGGUUUAUUUGCCGGCGGCACUGCCGUGGAAUUGAAGCGCUCCAGCUCAGCCAUCAAAGCGAUGAGAACUUCGGGAUAUCUUUAUAAUAAUUUAU